CCUACGGGAGGCAGCAGUAGGGAAUCUUCCACAAUGGGCGAAAGCCUGAUGGAGCAACGCCGCGUGGGUGAAGAAGGUCUUCGGAUCGUAAAACCCUGUUGUUAGAGAAGAAAGUGCGUGAGAGUAACUGUUCACGUUUCGACGGUAUCUAACCAGAAAGCCACGGCUAACUACGUGCCAGCAGCCGCGGUAAUACGUAGGUGGCAAGCGUUGUCCGGAUUUAUUGGGCGUAAAGGGAACGCAGGCGGUUUUUUAAGUCUGAUGUGAAAGCCUUCGGCUUAACCGGCGGGGUGCAUUGGAAACUGGGAGACUUGAGUGCAGAAGAGGAGAGUGGAACUCCAUGUGUAGCGGUGAAAGGCGUAGAUAUAUGGAAGAACACCAGUGGCGAAGGCGGCUCUCUGGUCUGUAACUGACGCUGAGGUUCGAAAGCGUGGGGAGCAAACAGGAUUAGAUACCCCAGUAGUC
rnacentral:rRNA from 1 species